AACGAACGCCGGCGGCAGGCUUAACACAUGCAAGUCGAACGCCCCGCAAGGGGAGUGGCAGACGGGUGAGUAACGCGUGGGAACGUACCCUUUACUACGGAAUAACUCAGGGAAACUUGUGCUAAUACCGUAUGUGCCCUACGGGGGAAAGAUUUAUCGGUAAAGGAUCGGCCCGCGUUGGAUUAGCUAGUUGGUGGGGUAAAGGCCUACCAAGGCGACGAUCCAUAGCUGGUCUGAGAGGAUGAUCAGCCACAUUGGGACUGAGACACGGCCCAAACUCCUACGGGAGGCAGCAGUGGGGAAUAUUGGACAAUGGGCGCAAGCCUGAUCCAGCCAUGCCGCGUGAGUGAUGAAGGUCUUAGGAUUGUAAAGCUCUUUCACCGAUGAAGAUAAUGACGGUAGUCGGAGAAGAAGCCCCGGCUAACUUCGUGCCAGCCGCCGCCGUAAGAC
rnacentral:rRNA from 1 species